rnacentral:rRNA from 1 species
AGCAGCCGCGGUAAUUCCAGCUCCAAUAGCGUAUAUUAAAGUUGUUGCAGUUAAAAAGCUCGUAGUUGAAUUUCGGGAUCAAUGUUUCGGUCAUGCCCUUGGUAUGUACUGAUAUUAUUGGUUUCUCACCUUCUAAAGAACCGUAAUGCCAUUAAUUUGGUGUCACGGGGAAUUAGGACUGUUACCUUGAAAAAAUUAGAGUGUUUAAAGCAGGCUCACGCUUGAAUACAUUAGCAUGGAAUAAUGAAAUAGGACAUCCGAUUCUAUUUUGUUGGUUUCUAGGAUCGAUGUAAUGAUUAAUAGGGAUAGUUGGGGGCAUUAGUAUUCAAUUGUCAGAGGUGAAAUUCUUGGAUUUAUUGAGGACUAACUACUGCGAAAGCAUUUGCCAAGGAUGUUUUCAUUAAUCAAGAACGAAAGUUAGGGGAUCGAAGACGAUCAGCUACCGUCGUAGUCUUAACCAUAAACUAUGCCGACUAGGGAUCGGAUGAUGUUAAUUUUUUAAUGACUCA